UGGGGAAUAUUGCACAAUGGGCGUAAGCCUGAUGCAGCCAUGCCGCGUGUAUGAAGAAGGCCUUCGGGUUGUAAAGUACUUUCAGCGGGGAGGAAGGGAGUAAAGUUAAUACCUUUGCUCAUUGACGUUACCCGCAGAAGAAGCACCGGCUAACUCCGUGCCAGCAGCCGCGGUAAUACGGAGGGUGCAAGCGUUAAUCGGAAUUACUGGGCGUAAAGCGCACGCAGGCGGUUUGUUAAGUCAGAUGUGAAAUCCCCGGGCUCAACCUGGGAACUGCAUCUGAUACUGGCAAGCUUGAGUCUCGUAGAGGGGGGUAGAAUUCCAGGUGUAGCGGUGAAAUGCGUAGAGAUCUGGAGGAAUACCGGUGGCGAAGGCGGCCCCCUGGACGAAGACUGACGCUCAGGUGCGAAAGCGUGGGGAGCAAACAGG
rnacentral:rRNA from 1 species